rnacentral:tRNA from 1 species
CAAGACGUAGCUAAACCUUAAAAGCAUUCAGCUUACACCUGAAAGAUAUCUCAUAAAGAGAUCGCCUUGA